UCUUCUAAUUUUUAUUGAUAUUUCAAAUUCAAUACUAGUUAUGAACGUUUUAAAAUUGUAAUAUUUUACUUAGUAUAACUCACAUUAAAACUAAAAUAUGAGUUAAAACUCAUGUGGUGCCUUAAAUAGUAUUCUUACCUUUAAGUUUGAUAGUAGGUCAAUUUACUUUAAUAAAUUUAAAAGCUAACAAUACAAAAUUGAUUCGGCUAAACGAACAUUUGUUAUGAUGUACGCUUGUAAGAUGGAGACAAGAGAUUGGGUUUUGACAUCUCGUUAACUUCUUUUGAACAAUUUAUAUGAUAUAUUCUAUAUUAUUCAAAAGCUUUUCUUUCGCUAACAUCCUACUUAACAGUUUAGACCACAUACAAGUUGUAAUAAUUGUAUUUCUCUGGAAAUGGCCCUCAAUUUUGGCACUGUUGACGGUUCGUUUGUUUGUCCGUAUUCUAUUUUUUUUAACAAUAAAAUAUGUUCUUGGUAUGCAUGACUAUUGUCUAUUAUCAUAAACUUUUUCACAUUCAAGUGUUCCUAACCAUGUUCUUCUUCUCAUUUUUUCAUCCAUGCUUUUUGUUGUAUGUAUAUAAAAGAUGGUUAUAAACUUAAUAAUUUAAUAACUUAAUUAUUGGGUUUUUUUUCAUUAUAAUACCCAAUGAUAUUCCAAUAUAUGUAUUUUGUUGUUGAACCGUUAAAUUUUAUGUUCUGACUAAUAAAGACUAUGCAAUUCGUAUUAAUCGUUUUAAAAUAUAUGAAUAAAAUAUUAUAUGUGUAAAACUAUAACACAUCUUGCACUUAGAAUUAACGGUUAUAUGAAUCUAGACUACUAACGUUGGAGUUAGAAGUUACAAAUUAACUCUCAAAGAAUAUAUAUAAUUUCAUUAGAAACAAAAUAAAUUGACUAAAAAAAUAAAUAUAAUUCUAUUGUUUACUUCGCUUUUCAACUAUAAACGAAACUAUAAAUAGUAGGUCAUUUUUUCAGAGUAUUUUAUGAAAUUAAUAUUAAUACUAAAUAUAUUUUAUAGAUUGGUUUUUGAUUUUAAAGAAAAAUGAUAAUGAAAUCAGUAAUAAUGAAAUCAUUAUUAGGUAUUAUUAGUUAAAAUUAAGUAAAAAGUAGAUUCGAUACACAAGUUAUGUUUGUUGCCUAUAGUAAUAUACGUGUUUACAAUUUUAAACAAUUCAAAAUUUAAAAAAUUUACAACAAUUAUAUGGAAGACUGUCCAUUGGAUAAAGCAAAAUUAGGAUAUCAUACCUGGAGUCUUCUUCACUCGAUGGUGGCAUACUAUCCAGACGAGCCCUCUGACCAACAACGGAAAGAUAUGGAGAAUUUCUUUAGACUAAUCGGCCGUCUUUAUCCUUGUGAAACAUGUGCAAGGGAUUUCACAAUGCUUUUAACUAAUCAACCCCCUGAAACACAUUCUCAACAAACCCUAUCCAAUUGGCUAUGUCGUGUACAUAAUCACGUUAAUCAAAAACUUGGUAAGCCAUUAUUUGAUUGCAAGCAGAUUAACGAGCGAUGGAGGGAUGGGUGGAAGGAUGGAAGCUGUCAAUAAUAAAAUACGGUUGGAAAUGUAAAUUGUAAUCGCAAUUAAACUGCUUAAUUGAUAAUUUCCCAUUAUAAAAUAAGCAGGUAUGACGUUUAAUAUGUUUCAGUAAACACACUUGUGCAUAUCAAUUUAUAAUAAAUUGUUAUACAUAUAUCCGUUUUUUUUUAUCACAGAAUAAAAGCGACCACCCUGAAUGUUCCGGUAUAAGUUCCGCAUUGAAUAUCACUUGGUCAAAUUAAUUAAGUUUAAUAUCAAAACAGUUUAUAAAAUGACUUGUCUCAAUCAGUAUUUUACUAAAAAUAUGGCAAUUUAUAUGUUGGUUGCUUGUUUAUUCCAAGUCAGUGGUGGUCGAGCAGCACCCGAUCCUCAGACGAUUUCAGUGGAUGUUCCUGAUACGUCCUAUGUGCAAAGCAUUUUUGGCGGCCUGACUAGCAGAGCAAAGUCGAUGGCAAGCAACGUCGUCUCAAGGUACUUGGACUCAGCAGACGCGGCGGCGGAGUCCGGAAAAAACAUGGUGUCAUUUUUACACAGAAUGAACGAAUCAGCCAUAAACUUCGGCACUAACACCGCCAGCAGAAUGGGGCAGAUGGUGAAGAACGGCACUAGAAAUUGGUCGAGUCUUCUGAGUGGCAUUUUCAGCAGUGAACAGUGACUCGAAAUUAUUUUUGUAUUGUUAUAUUAUAAUAUAAAGUGACAUAUCAUAACAACAAUAAUAGUUUUAAAAAAAUGAUGGUACGAAUAACGAAGAGCACCAGUCUUUAAGUUUUUUCUCGCCAAAAAAGUGUAACAUUGUAGAAUUACUGACUCAAUAUUGUCUAGAACAUGAAAUAAAAAUGUUGUUUUAAAUCAUAAUAAAUUAUAAUAAAAAUUAAC